GAUUGAAAGCCAGAGCCAGCCAUAGGCAAGCAUGGUUACCAAUAACACAUUCACCGACCCCUCCACUCUCCAGCCACCAGCCCACCGUCGGCCGUCACAGCCCCUCGCUGGAGCAGGUCGCAACCACUUCAGUUCUAUGGCCUUCCCUCACUCAUUCACUUUCUUCAGCCUUCAGUUACUGUACAGAAAAUCUGCAACUGGAGUGUAAAUAGUAGCCGAAGAUCAUCAAUUCGGAGAGAUAAAUGUCGUCGGCUGUGCUGCAGUCAGGUCCGGAUCGAAUAAGACACCAAUGAGGAGGCGUGUGAGGUUGUGAAUGGGGUUGAGGUUUCAAUAGAUGAGGGAUCUGAUAGUGUUGCUGCUUACCUUCUCACUGUUGUCAAGAACAACAAUGGAACUGGUAUUCGGCUGUUGUCUGAUAUUUUCGGAUUCGAACUCGUGUACCAGAGAUUUUGCUUACCGGAUCGCCUCAAUGGCUAUAAAAAUAUUGAUGAUGAUGGUUCAGUGGGUGUCAAAAGUUCAAAUGCAGAUGACCUAAGCACGGUUGAGAACCUAUCUGCAGAGACAGUUAAAUAAAAUAAAACAGAGUUGCUAUUAGUUGAGGUUACACUCGCUGGCAAUACUUACGAAGAAAAUAAUUCAACUGUUGAAGUAAAAGAAGAUGCAUUUGAUGACGUGUCAGCAGAUAAACAUGCACAUGUUCUUUGGCUCUUUGCAAUUUUUAACGCGCAUCACCCUUUCAACGUGAACCUCUCGCCAACAAGAUAUCUGCAUAUUACCUGCACAAGUGCCUGCGAGUGUUCAGAAAAUUGCACAAACAGACCACUCCAAGAAGAUAAAAAGGUUCAAGUUGUUAUGACUCAACAUUUUGGUUGGGGAGUAGAAGCCGUGGAAUUAAUCGAUGAAGGUGAUUACAUCAUUGAGUAUGUUGGAGAAGUAAUUAAUGAUGCUUUAUGUGAGAAGAGGUUUUGGGACAUGAAGGGAAAAGGUAUCACCAAGUUCUAUAUGGUCGCAGUCCGAAAAGACUUCAACAUUGAUGCAAGAUUAAAGGGGGAAUGAAUCGUGUUUUAUAAAUCACAGCUGUGAUCCUAAUUGUACCAUGGAAAAACGGGAUGUCAAUGGGGAGACUCGUCUUGGUAUCUUUGCUGCAAAACAAUCGAAGAUAUUUUGGAUCAUCCGAAGAAUUUGGCAAGGAACAACAAGAGAUAAGGAAAAAGAAGGGUCAAGGUUACGAUUGUCGGCUAAGGAAAAUAAAUUGAAACGUUGAACUUGGUUAUCACUUAUCAAGGAGCUCGCUAAGGAAAAUAAUGAAGAAAAGAAAUGUAAAAUGAAAUUGUUGGCUGAAAAAGAAUAAGUGGAUGAAGAUGUUAUGCUCAAUAGGAUGUCAUAAAUUGAAGCCGUGUUAAAGUUACGAUUCGAAGAAUAGGCUAUAAACACUUGGUUUUGAAGGUUUAGAUGUUUAUUAUAUAACGAUAAUUUUGGUUAUUUGAUAUUUUAGUUUGUAUUUUUGUUAGAAUGUUUUAGGACUUUGAAAUAGGAAAAACUGAAACAGAGA